CAAGAACCGAUGUUAAUCUUCUUUGCAAAUUGAUCAACAUGAUCUGGCAGCUAAAUAACGAUGAUGAAAAAAAGUGUUAAUGGUGAGAAUGAACAUACUUGAAUGGAGAAUUGGAUAGAAUUGAUUCUGUUGCAAUAACAGGUACAAUGGUAUGAUUGAUUAUAGUUCGUGGCGUAUUGCCAGGCAUUGGUAAAUUAACCAAAGGAUAGCUAGAAGAAAAAAUAAUAACAAUCAGAAUAAUGUUAUUUGCCUUUAAUUGCUAUUUACUCACUGAAUUAUGAAUGAAUAUAAAAUUUAAAAAAGAAAUACUAACCAGCAUAGUAAUAUAAUUGAAACUGCCAAUGAAAUGACUGCAACAGGAUGAGAUGAACAAAACAGGCCAUGGGCAUAAUAUAGCCCUGCCACCCUAUCUGGUAAA